rnacentral:rRNA from 1 species
CCUACGGGAGGCAGCAGUGGGGAAUAUUGCACAAUGGGGGAAACCCUGAUGCAGCGACGCCGCGUGAGUGAAGAAGGAUUUCGGUAUGUAAAGCUCUAUCAGCAGGGAAGAAAAUGACGGUACUUGAGUACUCAGCCCCGGCCAACUCCGGGACAGCAGCCGCGGUAAUACGUAGGGGGCGAGCGUUAACCGGAUUUACUUGGGGUAAAGGGAGCGAAGACGGCAGGACUAGUCGGGAGUGAAAUGACGGGGCUUAACCCCGGACGUGCUUUGGAAACUGUGCAGCUAGAGUGCAGGAGAGGUAAGUGGAAUGCGUAGUGUAGCGGUGAAAUGCGUAGAUAUUAGGAGGAACACCAGUGGCGAAGGCAGCUUACUGGACUGUAACUGACGUUGAGGCUCGAAAGCGUGGGUAGCAAACAGGAUUAGAUACCCCGGUAGUC